AGGGUUUGAUUAUGGCUCAGAACGAACGCUGGCGGCAUGCCUAACACAUGCAAGUCGAACGAAGUCUUCGGACUUAGUGGCGCACGGGUGAGUAACAUGUGGGAAUCUACCUAAAGGUUCGGAAUAACUACGGGAAACUGUAGCUAAUACCGGAUGUGUCCGUAAGGAGAAAGAUUUAUCGCCUUUAGAUGAGCCCGCACUAGAUUAGUUUGUUGGUGAGGUAAGAGCUCCACCAAGACUACGAUCUAUAGCUGAUUUGAGAGGAUGAUCAGCCACACUGGGACUGAGACACGGCCCAGACUCCUACGGGAGGCAGCAGUGGGGAAUAUUGGACAAUGGGGGAAACCCUGAUCCAGCAAUGCCGCGUGAGUGAAGAAGGCCUUCGGGUUGUAAAACUCUUUCAUCAAUGAAGAUAAUGACAUUAAUUGAAGAAGAAGCUCCGGCUAACUCCGUGCCAGCCGCCGCGGUAAUAC
rnacentral:rRNA from 1 species